GGAGGCGUGGCAGAGUGGUUGAAUGCGGCGGUCUUGAAAACCGUUAGGCAUCGUAAGGUGCCUCGAGGGUUCAAAUCCUUCCGCCUCCG
rnacentral:tRNA from 1 species